UACGUAGGCAGCAAGCGUUGUUCGGAGUUACUGGGCGUAAAGGGUGCGUAGGCGGCUUUUUAAGUCUGGUGUGAAAUCUCCCGGCUCAACUGGGAGGGUGCGCCGGAUACUGAGGGGCUAGGGUGUGGGAGAGGAAAGUGGAAUUCCUGGUGUAGCGGUGAAAUGCGUAGAUAUCAGGAGGAACACCGGUGGUGUAAACGGCUUUCUGGACCAUAACUGACGCUGAGGCACGAAAGCGUGGGUAGCAAACAGG
rnacentral:rRNA from 1 species